rnacentral:rRNA from 1 species
UGGGGAAUUUUGCGCAAUGGGGGAAACCCUGACGCAGCUACGCCGCGUGCGGGAUGAAGGCCUUCGGGUUGUAAACCGCUUUUGAUUGGGAGCAAGCUUUCGGGUGAGUGUACCUUUCGAAUAAGCGCCGGCUAACUACGUGCCAGCAGCCGCGGUAAUACGUAGGGCGCAAGCGUUAUCCGGAAUUAUUGGGCGUAAAGAGCUUGUAGGCGGUUCGUCGCGUCUGGUGUGAAAGCCCAUCGCUUAACGGUGGGGUUGCGCCGGGUACGGGCGGGCUAGAGUGCAGUAGGGGAGACUGGAAUUCCCGGUGUAACGGUGGAAUGUGUAGAUAUCGGGAAGAACACCAAUGGCGAAGGCAGGUCUCUGGGCUGUUACUGACGCUGAGAAGCGAAAGCGUGGGGAGCGAACAGG